GGAUGUGAGGGCGAUCUGGCUGUGACAUCUGUCAUCCCAUUGAUCGCCAGGGUUGAUUCGGCUGAUCUGGCUGGCUAGGCGGGUGUCCCCUUCCUCCCUCACCGCUCCGUGUGCGUCCCUCCCAAAGCUGUGCGCUUGGUCGAAGAGGACGACCUUCCCCGAAUAGAGGAGGACCGGUCUUCGGUUAAGGGUAUACGAGUAGCUGCUCCCCCGCUAGAACCUCCAAACAAGCUCUCAAGGUCCAUUUGUAGGAGAACAUAGGGUAGUCAAGCUUCCAAGACUCCAGACACAUCCAAAUGAGGCGCUGCAUGUGGCAGUCUGCCUUUCUUA
rnacentral:snRNA from 1 species